AAUGCCAAAAGGACAAGAGAAGUUUGUUGCAAUUGGUGAUCUUGAAGGAUGGGGAUACUCGAACAGCGAUAUCCGUGCAUACGUCGCAUCUCUAUCGAUUCUCCAGAUUGCUAUCCAGAGAGGCUUGCCAAGUUGAUUAUUGUUCAUGUUCCCGUCAUAUUCAUGACUGCCUGGAAGGUUGUUUACCCAUUCAUUGACAGCAGAACCAAGAAGAAGGUAAAGCACUAGCUAUGCCACUUGAACUUAUGUUGCUCCGACUUUUGAUUUUUCUUGAAGUACUCGUGUUUUGAACGCCAUACCCGACGGUUAAUUGUACAUGGAUAUAGGGUAUAGAAAUCUUCCAAUGACCCGCAAUUACUG